rnacentral:rRNA from 1 species
CAAUAGCGUAUAUUAAAGUUGUUGCGGUUAAAAAGCUCGUAGUUGGAUUUCUGCCGAGGACGACCGGUCCGCCCUCUGGGUGUGUAUCUGGUUUGGCCUGGGCAUCUUCUUGGAGAACGUAGCUGCACUUGACUGUGUGGUGCGGUGUCCAGGACUUUUACUUUGAGGAAAUUAGAGUGUUUCAAGCAGGCACACGCCUUGAAUACAUUAGCAUGGAAUAAUAAGAUAGGACCUCGGUUCUAUUUUGUUGGUUUCUAGAGCUGAGGUAAUGAUUAAUAGGGAUAGUUGGGGGCAUUCGUAUUUAACUGUCGGAGGUGAAAUUCUUGGAUUUGUUAAAGACGGACUACUGCGAAAGCAUUUGCCAAGGAUGUUUNCAUUG